GUUUCGUAGAAUGCAUAUUGCGUCAAAAUAGUAGAUUAAACAAACACUUAAAGUUAAUAUUAUACUUCAAUUAAGUAUAAAAAAAGUUUUGGUGGUAUCCACCAGUGUAAAUACUUUAAAUUAAAGAUCAAAUUUAUUCAUUACAUUCUUAUAGGGUCGAGGAGUGUAUCUGUAAAAAAUCAUCAAAAUCGGAGCUCAAAUAACCGUUAAAUUGUGAUUUUUCGUAUAUA
rnacentral:lncRNA from 1 species